CCUACGGGAGGCAGCAGUGAGGAAUAUUGGUCAAUGGACGAGAGUCUGAACCAGCCAAGUAGCGUGAAGGAUGACUGCCCUAUGGGUUGUAAACUUCUUUUAUAUGGGAAUAAAAUGUUCCACGUGUGGGAUUUUGUAUGUACCAUAUGAAUAAGGAUCGGCUAACUCCGUGCCAGCAGCCGCGGUAAUACGGAGGAUCCGAGCGUUAUCCGGAUUUAUUGGGUUUAAAGGGAGCGUAGGUGGAUUGUUAAGUCAGUUGUGAAAGUUUGCGGCUCAACCGUAGAAUUGCAGUGGAAACUGGCAGUCUUGAGUACAGUAGAGGUGGGCGGAAUUCGUGGUGUAGCGGUGAAAUGCUUAGAUAUGACGAAGAACUCCGAUUGCGAAGGCAGCUCGCUGGACUGCAACUGACACUGAGGCUCGAAAGUGUGGGUAUCAAACAGGAUUAGAUACCCUUGUAGUC
rnacentral:rRNA from 1 species